GGGCCUGUAGUUCAGUGGUAGAACGCGGCAUUCGCAUUGCCGAGACGGGGAUCCGAUUUCCCCCAGGUCCA
rnacentral:tRNA from 1 species